ensembl:lncRNA LINC02232 long intergenic non-protein coding RNA 2232
AUUAAUGCCUUUGCUGUUGGUGGGGGCAGGGAGCAUGGUACAGGGGUGACUGAGUUCCUGCUUUGUUAGUUCCCACUGAAACUGAUUGACAAAAAGGGCCUGGCACCUCUCUCUUCUCUCUCUUUCUCUCUCUCACCAUGUGAUCUAUGCAUGCCUGUUCCCGUCUGCUUGCACUAAGAAUGGAAACAGCCUAAGUUCCUCACCAGAAGCAGAGGCUGGCACCAUGUUUGUUAUGCAGCCUGCAGAACCGCUGGGGACAGCUCUCUGAAAAUAGGAAUAAAUAGUGGCUCCUCGAUAAACACCUUCUUGCCUACAGCAUGUGUGACUGCAAACACAUUCCCACUUCAACUAAUCCAAGACGAGAAGGAUGACAAAAUAAGAGAAAUCAUGGGAAAAACUGCCCAUUUCUGUUUUGUCCACUUUGCUUUGGGAAGUGAGAGCUAUAGUCAUUAUCACCACAUCCCCUGGCAUCCAAUUCCACAUUCUACCUCAGAAGUUAUUUGGAGGAAUCCAAGGACUUAGAUAUUUUACCAAUGUCUCUGGUGAUUUUUAUAUCGGUGGCCCAUGGGUGUUGACCUAUGAAACUGCUCUGCAGCAGAUAUUGAGAAAUAGGAGUUCAGGAUUAAUAAUUCAAUUCCAGCUUUCCUGGAAGCCAGAAGUCAAAAUAUACUUGGGAUUUCUAUAAAUAUUUUUUAAUUAUGACCAUCGAACUCCAAGUACUUCAGAUUUGGAACUCGGACUGCUUUCCUUGCUCCUCAGCCUGCAGAUGGCCUAUUGUGGGACCUUGUGAUUAUGUAGUGAGACGAGCAUGAGUGGAGCAGGAGACGGCUGUCCCCCACCCACAAGGAAUAUCAGAUGAUGGUUCAGCGAUCAUCACAUUGCCUCUCUGAAAGUGAUAAAUUGGCAGCUGGCACCAGGGAGAGGCUAUUUCCUGAUGGCCCACACCUGUUGCACUAAGAUGUUAAUCGAAUGCAGAUUCCAGGGAGAAACAACUUCCUGGGCAUGUGCGUAAGAGACAAAAUGGCAGUAAAAAUUAGAGAAUGAGAUCAGAAUAUGGAUACAUUGCAAGAGGUGGAGCCCUGGAACAAAAGUAAGAGAUUAUGCAGUGUCACUCCCCAGACAUCUAUAAAGAUUUCUACUGAACAAGUCAGCCAUCGAAGCAGAUUAUUCACCAUCUGUGGUCAUCAAUUCCAAAGGAAUUUUUGUUUCUGGUAAUGGCCAAAUAAGCAUCUAUAUGAAUAUUUUCUACAGAUAAUAAAUAUAAACUGUGAACAAAUGUAAAAAGAAAAAAAAAAGACCAGCCAAAGGCACUGGAAAUGACCCUAAAAGAGCAUAUUCUGAAGAGUAGUCUACAAUAGAAAAGGGAAAAUGACACUGACUGAGUCUCUCAUUUACUUUAGCUGUUAGACUAAAGGCAGUUCUAAACCAUGCCAUGGAUAGUAGCCAAAACUGCGAUAGAAAGGGCAUUGUCUUUCUGAUUUUAAAGGUGUACUAGAAGAGAGAGUUUGGGACAACCAUAGCUGCUAGUAAGUGAGAAUACACACUGCACAGGAAAAGAGCCAGAAAAAGAGAAGGUCGCCAACUUGAAAUUAUAAACUGUGUCCAUGUUUUUAGAAUAAUGACUUUGUGGAUCUGACUCCAAGCAAGUCACCUAAGGAUAAAAUAACUGAAGCAAGACUUCAGCUGCCACACAAAGAUAGAUUUUGCAGAGGUGUGAUUUCAACCAAGUAAAUUACAUUACAGACUAAAUAGAAAUAAAAGAUUCAGAAGAAGAUUACAAAACUCAUGAUCUCCAAAAGAUAAUAUUCAUAAUUUCCAACAUGCAUCCUAAAUUACUCCAAAACAUGAAUAAAGAAGAAUGUUUUUUAUUCUCAAGAUAAAUGAAAAUCAACAGAGACUGACAGCAAAAUGACUCAGAUGUUGGAAUUGGCACAACAAAGAUUUUAAAGGAAUUAUGCUGAGUGAUGUAAAGGAAAAUAUGUUUGAAAUGAAUGAAAAAUUAAGAAAUCACAGCAAAGAGAUAGAAAUUAUAAAAAAUGACUACAUAAAGACAGUAAUAAGGUGUCUUUUCAAUUUAUAUGGAAGUACAAAGUUCUAGCAUAUUCAAAGCAAUUCUGAAAAAAAGCAUAGUUUAAAGCAAUUCUAAAAAAGAAUAGCAUAGUUUAACUAUAAUAAAUGUUUUCAAGAAUAUUAUAAAGCUAUAGGAAUCAAAAUAAUAUGGCAAUGAUGUAAAGAUUGAUUAGCAAAGCCAUAGAAUAAAAUUUGAAGCCCAGAAAUAGAUUUGCACAUAUUGGGGGGGUUAUUUAACUUUUUACGAAUAUAUUAAAGCAAUUCAAUGAAUGUGCAGGGAAGGAGUAAUUCACAUGCCUGGGUUGCUCAAACCCUGUAUAUUUCCCAUAAGCAUCUUUCUUCAGGGUGGGCCCUUGGCUGGCUCCUCAAAAAUGAGCUCCGAGGCUCUGGAAUAUUCUGCCUGAGAAGAGUGCUUCUGUAUGUCUGACACCUCCGUCCAUGUGGUAAAAAUAAUGUUCAAACUGUUUACACUAAUUAUGUGUUUUAUUGUGAACAACUGUUUUUGUAAGCCUGAGACUUUAGAUUACAAAGUACAAGUUUAAAUGGGUAGUUUUUGUUAACAAUGAGAUUUAUGGUAAGUGUAUGAGGAACUAAAAUCUCAACAGCUGAGGACAGUUAUACAGGUGCUGCAUGCCUACGUGACUGACCCCUAAUAAAACCUCUGAAGACCAAGGCAAGAUUGAGCUUCCUGACUGGAAAUACAUCACAUGUAUUGCCACACAUCAUUGCUGGGAUAAUAAAGCACAUCCAUAGGACUCCACUGUGGGAGGACACCUAGAAGCCCAUGCUUCAUGUCUUCUAGACUUUAUCCCAUGUACCUUUACAAUUUGCUAAUUUUAAUGUGUAUCUUUUCAUUGUAAAAGACACUAAACAUGGAGAUAGUAGGUUUUUCUGAGUCUAGAGAAUCUUCAUUCUCUAGAAUGAAGUGGUAGUGGUCAUGAGGAGUCUCUACCCAUAAAUAAAACAUAUUUUUAAUGAAUGAUACUGAAAUAACUAUAUUUAUAUGGAAAAAAUGAAUCUCCACCCAUAACUCACAAUAUACCUAAAAAUAAUUCAAAAUGAAUUAUUGACCGAAACAUAGAAGCUUAUACAAAAGAUUUUCAGAAUAAAAUAUGGAAGAAUGACUAUUUGACAUAGAGCUAGGCAAAGUUUUCUUAUAGGUAGAUAAGAUACAGGACAAAUGAUGACAUAUGGAAAAAAUGAUAUGUUUGACUUUACCAAAAACAAAUCAUCAGUGAAUCAAAAUACUCACAAAAUACAACUCCUACAGCAAAACAUUAUAAAGACAAACAACCUUUUAAAAUGGGAAAAAUGUUUGAACACACAUUUUAUACAUUAAGAUGUAUAAGUGGAUAAUAAACACAUAAAAACUGUUCAGCAUCACUAAGUAAGUAGGGAAUGGUACAUUAAAGCAACAUUGUGAUAUCAUUACACACCCUCUAGGAAUGGCUAAAAUUAAAAAGACUGAAAACAUCAAAUUUUGGCAAGGUUAGGGCCAAUUAAAAUUUUCAUACAUUGCUGGUAAAAAUGAAAAUGUCACAACCACUUUGGAAAAAAUUUUUAAAAUUUUUUACAAAACUUCAUAUAGAUCCAUUAUAUGACCCAACCAUUCUACUGCUAGACAUACACUCAAAAUGAAGAAACACGUACAAAAAGAUUUCUACAAGAAUGAUUUUAGCAGCUUCACAACAAACCAGGUGUUGGUCAAUAGGAAGAUGAAAAAUCAAAAUAUAGUAUAGCUAUAAAAUACAAUAAUAUUUAGGAUAAAAAUAAUAAAUGCAUGUUAUAACUAAUAAUAUCAUGACUGAAUCUCAAAAAUAUUUUGCUGAGUUAAACAAGCUUUGCACAAAGUAGUAUAUUAUGUAUGAUCCCAUGUAUAGAAAUAUCUAGAAUAAGGAAAAACAAAUUAUGAUAGAAAAGAUGUUGCUUCUGGUGAUUGGGUGGAGCUCUGAUGGACUGGGAAGGAGCAUGAGGGAGCUUUGUGGGUUGAUGGUAAUUUAUGUACCCUGACAGGGGUUUGGUUUACAUAGCUGUAUUCAUUUGUCAAAACUUAUAUUAAAUGGUGCAAUUAAUAUUGAUGCAUUUCAUUGUAUGUAAAUUUUACCCUAAAAUAAUUUUAGACAAAUUGUAAAACCUAGUUAAAGACAUAUAUGCUGAUAUUUUCAGGGUUACCUCUCUUGAUGUCUGCAACUUACUUUGAAAUGCUUCAAAAGGAAAAUAGGAUAAUGGAUGGAAAUAGGGAGAGAGAAAUGGAUCGAUGUGUAAAUAAAACAAAUCUAUCUAAAUGUUAAAGCUUAAUUGUAGAUGAUGAAUGUAGGAGUGUUGAAUGUUAAAUUCUUUCAACUUUUAUGUUGAAAAAUCGUCAUAAUAAAAUAUUUGAAAAAUGUAUA